rnacentral:rRNA from 1 species
GACGAACGCUGGCGGCGUGCUUAACACAUGCAAGUCGUACGGUAAGGCCCUUUCGGGGGUACACGAGUGGCGCACGGGUGAGUAACACGUGAGUAACCUGCCCACAACUUUGGGAUAACGCUAGGAAACUGGUGCUAAUACUGGAUAUGUGCUCCUGCUGCAUGGUGGGGGUUGGAAAGCUCCGGCGGUUGUGGAUGGACUCGCGGCCUAUCAGCUUGUUGGUGGGGUAGUGGCCUACCAAGGCGGCGACGGGUAGCCGGCCUGAGAGGGUGACCGGCCACAGUGGGACUGAGAGACGGCCCAGACUCCUACGGGAGGCAGCAGUGGGGAAUAUUGCACAAUGGGCGCAAGCCUGAUGCAGCAACGCCGCGGGCGGGAUGACGGCCUUCGGGUUGUAAACCGCUUUCAGCAGGGACGAAGCUUUUUGUGACGGUACCUGCAGAAGAAGCACCGGCUAACUACGUG